rnacentral:rRNA from 1 species
UACGAAGGGGGCUAGCGUUGCUCGGAAUUACUGGGCGUAAAGCGCACGUAGGCGGGUUCUUAAGUCGGUGGUGAAAUCCUGGAGCUCAACUCCAGAACUGCCUUCGAAACUGGGAAUCUUGAGUCCGGGAGAGGUGAGUGGAACUGCGAGUGUAGAGGUGAAAUUCGUAGAUAUUCGCAAGAACACCAGUGGCGAAGGCGGCUCACUGGCCCGGUACUGACGCUGAGGCACGAAAGCGUGGGGAGCAAACAGG